CGUGUCGGGCAGCUGUGCCGCCUGGGGCCCCACAGCCUCUGUGUUGCCAGGGGUGGCCGGAGUGCUCCUGAUGGGACAGAAGGAGGAGCUCCAGGUCCUCAGUGAGGCCCUUCAAGCCCUGAGCGAAUAUGAGUGCCCCUCCUUUAUAAAGCAAUUUGUCCAGCUGACAUUCGACGCAAGAUCUGCCGAACUGCGCCUGCAGGAUGGGAAGAACCAGUGUCCUUUGGCCACCCCCACUUCCCACUGAAGAUGGGACUAACUGCAGAGCAGAGGGGACCAGCUGAAGCUGCAGGCCCAGCAGCUCUUGCUGGUCACAGCCGAGCCUGUGGCAACCUUCAGGAGCUCCUCCCUUCUCCCUUCCUGUUGGUAGUUCCCUCCCUCUAGCCCCCAGGCCCUGCCCAUCCCCUUUUUUCCCUCCCAGUUCACCCCUUCACUUUGCCUUCCCUUAAUAAACACUUUGGCUUUUUCACAUGACUCGUGGCUCCCUCUGUGGAGCUGAAGCAGCACAAAUCCUGAGCCCAGGGACAUGCAGGGCCCUGUUGCCAUCCUCUUCCACGCCGUCGUCUGUGCAUGGGCAGAGAGGAACAAGGGCAGCUCAAGCUGCAGAGGUCCCUGUCCUGCUGCUCCAGUUGCACAGCACCAUGGAGUUAAAGGUCGUGCUGAGCACACUGAAGGGAGCAAGGACCCUGGGUUUUAGAAGAGCCAGCUUGAGUAUGCUCUUCCAUGGCAAACAUCCACCGAGGGCAAAGGAGCUUGCGGUGCUUUUCACUACACCCGUCCUGUACUGAAGUGGCUGUUGUGAAAAAUACAGCCAGCCCCAUGAAACUUACCAGUGUGAAGAAACUGCUGCACAGCAACAGCUGAACUUCAGUGUGUCUGAGCCAGUGCUGCAGGCUCAAAUGCUGCCAGCAUUAUCUCUGCACCCUGGGACACUUCCCGGUUCCUGUGCCUUGACACUGCUUUCCCAUGGGGCUGGGGAAGGAGUUUGGCUCUAUGAACUGCCUGGUGCUGUGAAACAGGUUCAUUUUUGUCAGAUGAGAUGAUGGUGUGCACGUGUCCACAUGUCUCCCUGCCUUAGUGCCCUUUGUGAGCUGCUUACUUCUGCUAGAAUUUGUGGAGUGUUUAAAGCUUGCUGCCUUUUAUUUCUUUGCUCCUAUUCAGAGAAAUGAGUUGUUGAAGUCUUUGAAAUGUUCCAUUUUCAUCCUUACGCAAGAUAGUGAGGAAUGCCUUCUUUUCAUCCCUUAGGUAAUUCUUUGCUUUAUUAUUGCAUGCAGUGAGAUAGGAUUAGUGUGGGUUACAAGUAGUAAGAGAAUAUGGAAUAAGAGAACAAUAAGCACAAGAGCAAAAGAUAAAAAUAGUCUCAGGAAUUAACCUAGUAGUUUGAUAUUUCUAUGAAUAUAUAAAACACUUGCAACAAUG